CUGCUCAUUUUGUUAAUGACAUGCAUAAGAAUAUCUCUGUAGCCUUGUCAGAGUUAUAUUUUAUAGAUAAAAAAAUUGGAAGCAAAGGUUAAUGCCCUAGAA